rnacentral:rRNA from 1 species
CUACGUGCCAGCAGCCGCGGUAAUACGUAGGUCCCGAGCGUUGUCCGGAUUUAUUGGGCGUAAAGCGAGCGCAGGCGGUUAGAUAAGUCUGAAGUUAAAGGCUGUGGCUUAACCAUAGUACGCUUUGGAAACUGUUUAACUUGAGUGCAAGAGGGGAGAGUGGAAUUCCAUGUGUAGCGGUGAAAUGCGUAGAUAUAUGGAGGAACACCGGUGGCGAAAGCGGCUCUCUGGCUUGUAACUGACGCUGAGGCUCGAAAGCGUGGGGAGCAAACAGGAUUAGAUACCCUGGUAGUCCACSCCGUAAACGAUGAGUGCUAGGUGUUAGACCCUUUCCGGGGUUUAGUGCCGCAGCUAACGCAAUAAGUACCCCGCCUGGGGAGUACGACCGCAAGGUUGAAACUCAAAGGAAUUGACGGGGGCCCGCMCAAGCGGUGGAGUAUGUGGUUUAAUUCGACGCAACGCGAAGAACCUUACCAGGUCUUGACAU